AAGCGCUGAGCCGCUCGCCCCAUCAGCGCACGCCGAAGCAUGGCGCUCUCCGUCUCCUCCCUCGCCACCGCCCUCUCCCACCUCUCCCUCCCCUCCACCUCCACCUCCACCUCCAAGCCCCACCAGGCCCCCUUCCUCCGCCUCCAUCCCUGCACCUCCCGCCGCGCCGUCAGCCUCGCGCUCCGCGCCUCCGCCGCCGAGCCGGCCGAGGCGGACCUGCCCGCGGAGGAGGUGGUGGCCGUCGAGGAGGAGGCCGAGGAGGAUGCGCUGUCGGGCGUCGCGCUGCGGAAGUACGUGAAGCAGCGGCUGCCGGGCGGCUUCGCGGCGCAGCGGAUCACCGCCACGGGCCGCCGCAAGACGGCCAUCGCCCGCGUCGUGCUCCAGGAGGGCACCGGCAAGGUCUUCAUCAACUUCCGCGAUGCUAAGG
rnacentral:lncRNA from 1 species